rnacentral:lncRNA from 1 species
GCCUGAGGAUGGGCACAUUCCUCGCUCCCGGCGCCUUAUCGCUAGGCUCGCGCCGCCCCGGCUGGCUGUUUGGGGACGGAGAACCCACGGCGCUGCCCUGGGCUCUCCGGUGUCCCUGGCCCCCGUGCCCCGCGGCCGCCUCGACUUACCCGCGGAGUCCGGGGAGGAAGUGGGAGCGCCGCCUUCACGCCCGCGGAGGAGGCGCCGGCAGCACCAUGGUCCCCGGUGCCGCUGCCGCUGCCGCUGCCCCCGGCCCGCUCGCUCGCCGCGCGCUCUCUUUCUCUUGCAAACUUUCGGGUUCUGCAGUCGACAAGAAACCGGGGCGACCCUCAGCAAGCCUUCCCCGUGCAGGCAGGGGGCAACUGAAGGGGACGGGACGGGAUUUUGAAGAAAGUUCAAGAGGACAGUAUUUGUGAUAACCCUUUCCAUGGCGC